AGCUUUGUGCAGUGGCAGUUAGUAGCCAAUGAGGUUUAUCCAAGGCGCGAUUACUGCUAAUUGAAAACUUUUCCCAAUACCCUGCCGUGACAACUUGCAAUAUAGUCGGCAUUGGCAAUUUUUGACAGUCUCUACGGAGA
ensembl:snRNA U4 U4 spliceosomal RNA